rnacentral:misc_RNA from 1 species
GGAAUAACAAGGUUUCCGUAGGUGAACCUGCGGAAGGAUCAUUAUUGUAUAACCGAGGUGCGAGGGCUGUCGCUGACCCGAAAGGUCGUGCACGCCCGAGUGCCCUCACGCACAUCCAUCUCACCCCUAUGUGCACCACCGCGUGGGUCCCCCUUUGGCUUGUUCGGAGGGGGGCUUACGUUUUCACACAAACUUUGUAUGCAGUGUAGAAUGUAUUUUUUGUUUUUGCGAUCACGCAAUCAAUACAACUUUCAACAACGGAUCUCUUGGCUCUC